rnacentral:miRNA from 1 species
ACCCCACUCCUGGCACCC